rnacentral:misc_RNA from 1 species
AACAAAUUUAGCAGCGUAGAGAGUGAAGUGGAAAAUACCGCAAGAAACCAAACAUAGCAGAGACAGUGAGUGGAAGCCAAAGAAUAAGAGGGGGAGAAAAGAAAUGACGACGGAGGGAGAGGUGGUUUGCGUCACCGGAGGAAGCGGUUGCAUCGGUUCUUGGUUGGUACGUCUCCUUCUCGAACGCGGCUACACCGUUCACGCCACCGUCAAAAAUCUCAAGGAUGAGAAAGAAACGAAGCAUCUACAAGCCAUGGAAGGAGCAGACUUGCGUCUUCGUCUUUACCAAAUCGACCUCCUUGUCUAUGACUCCAUUCUCGCCGCUAUCGACGGCUGUGCAGGCGUAUUCCACCUGGCCUCUCCCUGCAUCGUUGAUAAAGUCCAAGAUCCUCAAAAGGAGCUUCUGGAUCCAGCAAUUAAAGGGACCCAGAAUGUACUUAUGGCGGCCAAGGAGAAAGGGGUGGGGCGCGUGGUGGUCACGUCAUCCAUAUCUGCUAUAACGCCGAGCCCUCAGUGGCCAGCAGACGUUGUCAAGGCAGAGGAUUGCUGGACAGAUAUUGACUACUGCAAGCAAAAUGAAUUAUGGUAUCCACUGUCCAAAACACUGGCUGAGAAAGUUGCAUGGGAAUUUUCCAAGGAGAAAGGUUUGGAUGUGGUGGUGGUAAACCCUGGUACGGUGAUGGGCCCUGUUAUCCCACCAACCCUGAAUGCAAGCAUGUUGAUACUUGUGCGCCUUUUACAAGGUUGCACAGAGACAUACGAGAAUUUCUUUAUGGGAUCUGUUCAUUUUAAAGAUGUAGCCUUGGCACAUAUCAUGGUGUAUGAAAACCCAUCAGCAUCUGGUAGGUAUUUAUGUGUUGAAGCCAUAUCUCAUUAUGGCGACUUUGUGGCCAAGGUUGCAGAGCUAUAUCCCGAAUAUAAGAUUCCCAGGUAACAAGUUUGACAAACCAUGUGCAUCUGUUAUGCCUUGGCAAUGUACCAAACUCUGCUAUGUUAUGAAAUCAAAUAUCUUGCCAAAAUGAUCUAUACCGUUUUAGCUAAGUAAGGAAUAUAGUUAACUAAACAAUUCCUUUUCUGCUAGCUUUAUCUCUUCAAAAAACCUUUGAAUCAACUUUCCAGUUUACUUAAAGUUUCUUGGCCUAGUGCAAGGAUCAGCAAAAUUAUUUGGUCAAACUGUUUAUUGUCAUAGAGAGCUUUCUUAUGCGUGAGCAUGGUGCUACAUUAGUUGCUGUUUUGUGAGUUAAAGAUUGGUACAUUGUCACCUCUGUGAAAUUCUGGGAAUUCAGUAGUCUGGAUGAUGAUAUGAAUAACAAAGGACCCUUCAUGUGUCACUUGUUGCAGUUUGCCAAAGGAUACCCAGCCUGGGCUGUUGAGGGCUAAGGAUGGGGCUAAGAAACUGAUGGACUUGGGCUUAGAAUUUAUUCCCAUGGAGCAAAUUAUCAAGGAUGCAGUUGAGAGUCUAAAAAGCAAGGGAUUGAUUCCUUAAUUGAAGCUUUAGGUGCCCAUAUAUGAUCUAGAGCUGAUGAUUAGCGAGGAAUUGUGUGAAUGGAAUAACUGGAGUCCAUGCGUGUGGAUGUUGUGCCCGAUAGAAGUACUUCCUAGGUUACUUUGGUAAAAGCGUAAUGUAAUGCAAGGCAAUGAUGUAAUCAAAGUUAUAAUGUAAUAGUAUAAUGUAAUGUAAUGUAAUUGUAAAUACAUUCUUAUGUUUAAUUACAAAAUAAAAUAUAAGUGGUGUAAUUUAA